rnacentral:tRNA from 1 species
AGAAAUUUAGGUUAACCAAACCAAGAGCCUUCAAAGCCCUCAACAGUAGUAUUUACCCCACUAAUUUCUG